UGAGGAAUAUUGCGCAAUGGGCGAAAGCCUGACGCAGCGACGCCGCGUGGAGGAUGAAGGUUUUCGGAUUGUAAACUCCUGUUAAGUGGGAAGAAACGACAAAAUAUAAUACAUUUUGUAACUGACGGUACCAUUAAAGAAAGCACCGGCUAACUUCGUGCCAGCAGCCGCGGUAAUACGAGGGGUGCAAGCGUUAUUCGGAAUUAUUGGGCGUAAAGGGUGCGUAGGCGGCGUAUUAAGUCAACUGUUAAAACCUCCAGCCUAACUGGAGAUCAGCAGUAGAUACUGGUAUGCUAGAGGAUGGAAGAGAGAAGUGGAAUUCUUGGAGUAGCGGUGGAAUGCGUAGAUCUCAAGAGGAACACCAAUGGCGAAGGCAGCUUCUUGGUCCAUAUCUGACGCUGAUGCACGAAAGCGUGGGGAGCAAACAGGAUUAGAUACCCUGGUAGUCCACGCCGUAAACGAUGAUCACUAGAUGUUAAUUCUGCUUGCAGAAUUAGUGUCGUAGCUAACGCGAUAAGUGAUCC
rnacentral:rRNA from 1 species